CCCCUAGAUGUUCUGGGCCGCACGCGCGCUACACUGAACAGUUCAACAAGUCUUAACCUUGGCCGAUAGGUCUGGGUAAUCUUUGAACGCUGUUCGUGAUUGGGAUAGACCUUUGCAAUUAUGGGUCUUCAACGAGGAAUUCCUAGUAAACGCAAGUCAUCAGCUUGCAUUGAUUACGUCCCUGCCCUUUGUACACACCGCCCGUCGCACCUACCGAUUGGAUGAUCCGGUGAGCUAUUCGGACCUUCGCUUCGUCGAUUUUCGGCUUUGUGAGGGAAAGUCUCGCGAACCUUAUCAUCUAGAGGAAGGAGAAGUCGUAACA
rnacentral:rRNA from 1 species